CUAAGCAAAAAGUGAGUUAUGUUAUGAAACGUGGAAUUUAGUAACUGACAAAACAGACAUAGUCCCACUUAAAGCGUCCCUCUCUUUAACACUAGACUUACUUAUCAUUAGAAACCAGUUCUGGUGCUACUAAGAUGAUCUAUAAAAGAAUGGAUGUGAAAUAAAAAGCGGAACAACAGGAAGUUUGAUGUUAUGGUUUUGGUACCAUCUUUAGAGAGUAUCUGAUCAGGAUUGAUAUGAGGAAGAGAAGCACUUGCCUGGACCCAGUUAUGGCCAGAAGUAUCAUUACAAGACAGGGGCAAGACUGACCUGCCCGCCAGUACACCCCGACCAAUUGCAACAAUAAGAUAUGAGGCGGUCUGUGUUUUUCUGUGUCACCUACGUGCUGUGCCUGAGUUUGGGCCUGAUCUGCCCUCUGUGAGCUGCUGGGGCUCGUACUGGCGAGGCGGUUUUCUCUUGUGAUGGAUCAGCUCUGCAUUUCGACUGGCAUCCUGUCCUCGCGGUGUCUGGGCUGCUGGUUCUGUAUUUAUGUAUGAC